UACGGAGGGGGCUAGCGUUGUUCGGAAUCACUGGGCGUAAAGCGUACGUAGGCGGCUAUUCAAGUCAGAGGUGAAAGCCUGGGGCUCAACCCCAGAACUGCCUUUGAAACUAGGUAGCUAGAACACGGGAGAAGUGAGUGGAAUUCCGAGUGUAGAGGUGAAAUUCGUAGAUAUUCGGAAGAACACCAGUGGCGAAGGCGGCUCACUGGACCGUUGUUGACGCUGAGGUACGAAAGCGUGGGGAGCAAACAGG
rnacentral:rRNA from 1 species